UUUUAACUGACAAACUCAUUUCUCUACUGGGACAGGAUGCUGUGCUGGCUGGAAGUUCCAUUUCUACAGCAAGAAUCCUAUCUGGAAACACAGAAGUUGUCCUCUAGCCACAGCAGCUCGAACUUUUUUGAUUGUCGUUGCUGCUUUCUCCCAUCACCCCCAUCCCCUUUUGACAAAGAUCCAACUGUAAAAAGUCUUACGUAACAGUUCAGGACUACUUCGGUUCUUUUACUGGAAAGAUUUCUUUUAGAUGCAGAAUCUACCUACAUUUGGCUGAAAAUCAGACGGAAGAAUCCACAGAGGAAAGGAAGGAAAGGCGAACUGCCCUGUGGAAAGCACAGCUGCAGGGAUAGUAGAAAGUAACAGGCUCUCGAUCCGUGGGAGGUGGUCACUUUGGAGGACAGAUAAGUCAACCUCAGAGAACGAACACAAUGAAGGAAAUUCCAGCCUACUCAUGUUCUCCUCUCAGGCUGUACCUCAACAAGAUCCAACUGGACUU
rnacentral:lncRNA from 1 species